rnacentral:rRNA from 1 species
UACGUAGGGGGCAAGCGUUGUCCGGAAUCAUUGGGCGUAAAGCGCGUGUAGGCGGUUCGGUAAGUCCGCUGUGAAAGUCGGGGGCUCAACCCUCGGAUGCCGGUGGAUACUGUCGAGCUUGAGUACGGAAGAGGCGAGUGGAAUUCCUGGUGUAGCGGUGAAAUGCGCAGAUAUCAGGAGGAACACCGGUGGCGAAGGCGGUUCUCUGGGAAUAUCCUGACGCUGAGGAGCGAAAGUGUGGGGAGCGAACAGG